AUAAUAGUUGCUAUAUUGAAUCCAUAUUAAAAUAAAUCAACGCUUUCUACUAAAGCGUUGUUAUUUGACCAACCAAAAAACAAUUCUAUCUUUUGAAAAAGAAAAUAAAAAAAAAAAAGAAAGAAGCUUCUGAAGAGCACGCGUAAACAAAAUGGCGGUAUUGUAAAUUUUUAAUAACCAAAAAUUUAUUUUCCCCCUUCAUUUUGCGCGGGCAUGAUGAAAAAAAAAACUCAAUAUUAGGGCAUCUUUCUGCUAAAAAAAUACCUGAAUAACCUCAAUCUUAGCUCUCUCUCGUCUGUUCAUGCUAUUCUCCCCUACCUCUAUUUCUUUCUCUGGUAAGAGUUAUUUAUUUAUUUUUUUUCUUGGGUUGAUCCUUCCUCUUUCUCUUCAAUAGGAAAAAGAUUCAGUUGCUUCUCUCAGAUUUUUUUUUUGGUGCUGUUACGACCUGAUAUAUACGUCCAGCGCUGCCUCCAAAUCCGACUCUGGCUCCACCCCUCAACACUCUCUUCGACUCUAUUUCUCUUCUCUACGGGGGCCUAGGAAGUUCGAACAUACCAACAUCUUCUAAUAAAUAUCGUGUUGAAAUCAAUCAUCAUACUAUACCUCUCAACAAAGUAUGAUUCAGAUGAGAGUUUGCACUGUGACUAGCUAAACAUUUUAGCAACGUCUCCUUACUAAAUAUGCGUUAAAAUAAGUGUAUUAGUGUGUAUUUAUAUGUAAUGUACACUUGACAAUUUUGUUUGGAGAAAGCUUUAAAAAAUUUUUUAGUCAAAAUAUUAAUACACAGGCAAAGAUGUAUGUUUAGAUUCUAUGUAUUAAUAUUC